rnacentral:rRNA from 1 species
GACGAACGCUGGCGGCGUGCUUAACACAUGCAAGUCGAACGGAAAGGCCCUGCUUUUGUGGGGUGCUCGAGUGGCGAACGGGUGAGUAACACGUGAGUAACCUGCCCUUGACUUUGGGAUAACUUCAGGAAACUGGGGCUAAUACCGGAUAGGAGCUCCUGCUGCAUGGUGGGGGUUGGAAAGUUUCGGCGGUUGGGGAUGGACUCGCGGCUUAUCAGCUUGUUGGUGGGGUAGUGGCUUACCAAGGCUUUGACGGGUAGCCGGCCUGAGAGGGUGACCGGCCACAUUGGGACUGAGAUACGGCCCAGACUCCUACGGGAGGCAGCAGUGGGGAAUAUUGCACAAUGGGCGGAAGCCUGAUGCAACAACGCCGCGUGCGGGAUGACGGCCUUCGGGUUGUAAACAGCUUUCGCCUGUGACGAAGCGUGAGUGACGGUAAUGGGUAAAGAAGCACCGGCUAACUACGUG